rnacentral:lncRNA from 1 species
GGGAUUGCAGACACUUUCAGAGAGCCUGCUUGGCUGCUUGGCUCCACCAGGUGCAGGGGCUGGGAGCAGAUAAAGGAGGAAGCAUCAGCAGCUAGAGGGGCCUGGGAGAUGGAGGAGGGUGUGCUAUGGCAGCUCUGGGUGUCUGCAGGUGGCUCUGGCAGAGGGCUGAGCGUCUCAGGAGCUCCAAAAGGGGAAGGGAAUGUCCUCAUCCCAAGAGCAGGUCCCGGGGCAGCCUGCUGGGUGCAUUGACCAGGCAGCUUGUAAUGCAACGUAUACGGAGUAACAUUGGAUGCAUAUAUUUAACAAAGCCAUCACCUGAUGCAAAACUGAAUGCCUCGGAGAGAUCCAGGACCCUGGAGAUGAAAGAACCAAUAUUGCUGCGAAGGUUAUUCCUAGCACAGGAGCAGUUAAGAAACUGUCUGCACACAAAUGACGAAUUAUUGUAAUCUGAACAAAGAAUGGGGCAGUAAAGAUCACAUCAGUUGGAAACUUUGAAAGGACUAGAGGCA